GAUGAACGCUGGCGGCGUGCCUAAUACGUGCAAGUCGAGCGAAUGGAUUAAGAGCUUGCUCUUAUGAAGUUAGCGGCGGACGGGUGAGUAACACGUGGGUAACCUGCCCAUAAGACUGGGAUAACUCCGGGAAACCGGGGCUAAUACCGGAUAACAUUUUGAACCGCAUGGUUCGAAAUUGAAAGGCGGGUUCGGCUGUCAAUUAUGGAUGGACCCGCGUCGCAUUAGCUAGUUGGUGGGGUAACGGCUCACCAAGGCAACGAUGCGUAGCCGACCUGAGAGGGUGAUCGGCCACACUGGGACUGAGACACGGCCCAGACUCCUACGGGAGGCAGCAGUAGGGAAUCUUCCGCAAUGGACGAAAGUCUGACGGAGCAACGCCGCGUGAGUGAUGAAGGCUUUCGGGUCGUAAAACUCUGUUGUUAGGGAAGAACAAGUGCUAGUUGAAUAAGCUGGCACCUUGACGGUACCUAACCAGAAAGCCACGGCUAACUACGUGCCAGCAGCCGCCGUAA
rnacentral:rRNA from 1 species